GCAGGCCCUCGGUCUCAGCCCCACCCUUCCCCUGAACGGUGUCCUCACGAAACAGAAGCCAGGGUGCCGGAGCCCAGGCUCCCCAGGGAGCAGGCCUCUCCCACGCUGGGGAGGGGGAAGUCUCCACACAGGGGGAGGAGCCGGCCCGACGCCCGCCUGGUCCCGUGUGCCAUUGCCAUCAGCGACUUCGUCCUCCGCUCCGUGUCAGCUGCCUUGCUGCCCUGGGCCUCAGUACAGGGCCUAGCACCCGCGCAGGCUCAGGAAGUGUGUUGGCUGGAGGAGGAGGGCGUGGCGGGCAGGGGGCGGGCCCCGCUUCCUCCCUCUCCUCCCCGAGCGCUCCUGCUGGGGUUCCCUCCUCUGGCAGGGGCAGGGUGUGCUUCCAGCCCGGGGACACGCCGCCCAGCCCGGCUCCUCUGUUGAGAAGCUGCGUGGCUCGGGGGAACGCACAGGCGGCUGGGGUCCCGUGGGCAGUCGUCCAGUGUCUGCAGCAUGAUGCGGAUGCUGGGAGGUGCACAGGCGUGGCAAGUGGUGGGAGCUCCACAAGCAGAGCUUUGAGGGCGGCCCCGCACCCUGCCCUGCCCUCGUUCCACCCCUGCCUUGUCUCCCAGAACUUCCGGGAAGGUCUACAUGCCCCGGACUCUCCGUCAGGUACAUACGAGGCACCUGCUACGUAUGCUAAGGGCUGGGGAUAUGGAGAAGGCAGAACCCUGCCCUCGGGCCUCUCUGCUCCUCUAUUCUGCUUUUUCCUUCUCAUCCCCCUCCAAUGCCCCUCAGACCUCAGGGCACUCGUCUGCAGGGUCUCUCAGAGUGGGGGUGGGGGCCUCACUCACCCCAGUGCCCUGCCUGAGCCCGGGGGUCUGCAGAGCUGCAGGGCUGGAGUGUCCUCACGGUCGCUCUCCCUGGAGUUCCUGGCUCCUGGCUUUGACCUUGUCCAGCUCCUAUGACUGCAAGCAUUUGGGAAGUGAACCAGCAUAUAGAGUUCUCUCUCCCCCUGCCCCUCUCAGAUAAAAA
rnacentral:lncRNA from 1 species